rnacentral:rRNA from 1 species
GAGGAAAAGAAAUAUAACAAUGAUUUCCCUAGUAACGGCGAGUGAAGAGGAAAGAGCUCAAAGUUGGAACCUGUUUGGCCUAGCUAAACAGGAUUGUAAACUGUAGAAGUGUUUUCCAGGCAAUCCGAGUUAAUAAGUCCUUUGGAACAGGGCAUCAUAGAGGGUGAGAAUCCCGUCUUUGAUUCGAGAUAUUUUGUCUUUUGCGAUACACUUUCAAAGAGUCAGGUUGUUUGGGAAUGCAGCCUAAAUUGGGUGGUAAAUCUCACCUAAAGCUAAAUAUUGGCGAGAAACCGAUAGCGAACAAGUACCGUGAGGGAAAGAUGAAAAGAACUUUGAAAAGAGAGUUAAACAGUAUGUGAAAUUGUUAAAAGGGAACCGUUUGGAGCCAGACUGGCUUGUCUGUAAUCAAUCUAGGUUUCGUGCCUGGAUGCACUUGCAGACUAUUUGCCUGCCAACGACAAUUUUUUUUGAGUGUAAAAACUAUUGGAAAUGUGGCCAAUAUUUAUUUAUUGGUGUUAUAGUCCUUUAGAAAAUACCUUGAAUUGGAUUGAGGAACGCAGCGAAUGCUUCUCUUUUGAGGCAAAGUCUUUUAUUGGGAUUUACGGAUCAGACUGUGGCAUUGUCACAAGACUUGAAGUUUAAACCUAUUUUUGAACUUUUAUUCGCUUAGGUUGUUGGCUUAAUGACUCUAAAUGACCCGUCUUGAAACACGGACCAAGGAGUCCACCAUUAGUGCGAGUAUUUGGGUGCCAAACCCAUAUGCGCAAGGAAACUGAAUGAUAUGAAUCCAUUUAGGAGGCAAUAUCGUCCGGCGUUGACGUUUUAUACUGAAGUGACCGAGAUAAAGCACUAAUGAUGGGACCCGAAAGAUGGUGAACUAUGCCUGAAUAGGGUGAAGCCAGAGGAAACUCUGGUGGAGGCUCGUAGCGAUUCUGACGUGCAAAUCGAUCGUCAAAUUUGGGUAUAGGGGCGAAAGACUAAUCGAACCAUCUAG